UUGCUGUGAUGAAUGUUCCAAAACCAUUCGUAGUUUCCACCGGAAGCUUGCUGAUGAUGGCCAAGUACCUUCCUUGGAUGUCUGAGCGA
ensembl:snoRNA SNORD14 Small nucleolar RNA SNORD14